UGGCACCCAACGUUGAGGCUUGAGAACGUGGAGGAUUGGAGAACGACAUACACCAAAGCAGGCCUGAAUAUCAGUUUGACCACUGUGGAGAACGCUCCACGAACGAAGGUCCGUCAAAUGAUGGCCAUGGGGACACCCAACCAUGAGACAGAUCAGGGGAGUUGAUUUGUGCUGAUGCAAGGUAAGUUUACCAUGGGACAAGCAUUUAGUAAACAAGAUUUACUUAUUUCAGGACUUACACAGUCUCUCAAGACAUGAGAACAAGGGUAAAAAAGAAAGAUUUAAAAAAGUUUCUUGAUUAUAUUGGGGACCUUUGUCCCU
rfam:Neotoma lepida isolate 417 scaffold_4266, whole genome shotgun sequence.